rnacentral:rRNA from 1 species
CCGCGUGAAUGAUGAAGGCCUUAGGGUUGUAAAAUUCUUUCGCCAGGGAUGAUAAUGACAGUACCUGGUAAAGAAGCCCCGGCUAACUUCGUGCCAGCAGCCGCGGUAAUACGAAGGGGGCUAGCGUUGUUCGGAAUUACUGGGCGUAAAGCGCACGUAGGCGGACUUUUAAGUCAGAUGUGAAAUCCCGGGGCUCAACCUCGGAACUGCAUUUGAAACUGGAAGUCUAGAGACCAGGAGAGGUUAGCGGAAUACCGAGUGUAGAGGUGAAAUUCGUAGAUAUUCGGUGGAACACCAGUGGCGAAGGCGGCUAACUGGACUGGUACUGACGCUGAGGUGCGAAAGUGUGGGGAGCAAACAGGAUUAGAUACCCUGGUAGUCCACACCGUAAACGAUGAGAGCUAGUUGUUGGCAGGCAUGCCUGUCGGUGACGCAGCUAACGCAUUAAGCUCUCCGCCUGGGGAGUACGGUCGCAAGAUUAAAA